ACGUAGGGUGCGAGCGUUAAUCGGAAUUACUGGGCGUAAAGCGUGCGCAGGCGGUUAUAUAAGUCAGGUGUGAAAACCCCCGGCUCAACCUGGGUACUGCCUUUGAGACUGUUUGACUAGAGUAUGGUUGACGGGGGUGGAAUUCCACGUGUAGCGGUGAAAUGCGUAGAGAUGUGGCAGAACGCCGAUGGCGAAGGCAGCCCACUGGGUCAUUACUGACGCUCAUGCACGAAAGCGUGGGGAGCAAACAG
rnacentral:rRNA from 1 species